UGUGCAGCCCCACGUGAACAAAAGACCACACUCCAGCUUCCUCUUACCAACAACCACCGCGAAACUCAACCCAAAACUUAACAACGCAGCACUUCCUUUCUUUCUUUGAUACCGGAAUUUUGCCGACAACUAGGUGAGAAAAUCUAGCACUUUGGAGGCCUAAUUUUUUGGAGAAUUUCGACACGACCCUCACCACUCCAAUAAGAGCGAAGAACUGGACAUUCUUUUGGGGUAGUCCGUGAGCUACAGAUUCGGCAACGUUGUGCACGUCUCCGAUAAGAUUAUCUAUAUAUAUUUGUGCUUUUCAUUAUAAAGGCGAAAGACUCAAUUUAUUUUGGGUUUGUGGGUGGAUAGGAUUGCAAUUUGAAAACUGUGAAGUUUGGUGUUUUGGAGAAUAAAAUUAGUCUUAAAUGACAAUCAUCUGUUUUUACCAAAAAUAACCAUACAUCUGUUUUGCCUAAAUGGAGUUAAUCUGUUGUGUUUCCAUGUUGUGCUUUCGUUGGCUGCCAUACAAUACGAAAAUAACAAUUCCAUUUCCAGUAAUAUUACAACUAAUUUCAUAUAGAUUUAUUGCCAUAAACAUAUAAGGGGUCUACAUCCGUGAAGUUGCAAUUUUUAUUUUUAUUUUUGGUUUUUUUCCGUAAACUUACUAGUCACUAGACACAGGUUCUCUAUCACUCGAUUUCUCCCAUCUGUGAAGUUGCAAAUUUUUUUGGAUUCUUUAUUUUUUGUUAUUUGCAGUAAGUUAAAGUAUGGAUGACAUUGAAAACGACCACAACGAUGUUUUCGAGCCAUCAGAGAAUGAGAAUGUGAAGGAUUCUGUGAAUGAAGUUGGUGGUGAAACAUCAACGGGAGGCGGUGUAAUUGUACCGGAGGUGGGAAUGUUGUUAAAAAUGAACAAGAGAUGUAUGAUUUCUACAAAAAAUAUGCGUACACAAUGGGUUUUCCAGUUAAGAAAAGGAAUUCGAAAAAAGGGGACGAUGGAGUUUUAAGAUAUUUGAUGUUGACAUGUAGCCGUGAAGGUGAAAGCAUCGGUAAUAGUAGCUGCUCUUUGAAGCCGCACCCAACAGUUAAGAUGGGUUGUAAGGCCAGAAUAUCUACAUCAGUCGAUGUUCUAGGAAAUUGGAGAAUUAAUGCAAUAAACCUCGAACACAAUCAUGAGACAAGUCUUUAUAAAUCCAGAUUAUACUGAUGCAAUAGACAAUUGAGUGCAGCUAUGAAACGAAAGUUUGAGGUGAAUGAUUUGGCAGGAAUUGCAUUGCAUAAAAGCUACAACUCCGCAGUUGUAGAAGCGGGUGGAUAUAAGAAUAUGACUUGUAUUGAAAAGGAUUGUAGGAACUAUGUAGAAUGCGUGAGGCGAUUGCGUCUUCGAGAAGGAGAUGCUGCAGCAAUUCUAUCGUAUUUUUCAAAAAAUGCAAGCAUAGUGCUCGGGAUUUUAUUUUGAUAUUGAUUUCGAUGAGGAGUCACGAUUGAGAAAUGUGUUCUGGGUAGAUAAUCGGAGUAAGCAGGCGUACAAGGAGUUCGGGGAUGUUGUUUCAUUUGAUACCACUAAUCCGACUAAUAAAUACAUUGCAGGCACGUUGGGCUAACCACGAAGAGUUCGGCACGUUGCGGGCUGCACAUUCACCAGAGCUGGCAAUUGAUUGUUCUCAUGACUUUGCAUUGUCUCAUUUCCAAAUUGUAAAGGAUUAGUUUUGGGAUUGUACCCUUAUUAUGACUGGAGGGAUAAUUCAUUUUGGAUGUUAGCCAUUAAAUGUGUUUUGUCAAGAAACUUAGGCAGGUUGCGUUUCUAUUGCUAAGCCAAUUAAUCUGGUCAUCAAAUCCUUUUUAUUAAUUUCAGUCACCUGGAUAGGCUUCUUGAAUUUGUUGGGACUUCUUUUUAGCUUGGUGGGAUCCUUAAUCCAUUUCUGUAAUAAUGAAUAAUUCGUUUCCUUCUUU